CAGCAGGUUCCUGUAUCUUGGGAAUAUUAAGAAUAUUAGAGAGCAACUUGCAGCAGUCAGAAUUUCACAUUAAGGGAACCAGCCAUUCCUGUGGAGGGCAGGAUGGAGUGACAACCUGUAUGCUCAUUCAACAUGCACUGAAUGAGAGCCAAGGAACGCUUUAUCGAAGCUUCUUCUUCCUUAUACAGACCUAGACAUAAUCAGAGGAACAGCUUGCUUAGAAAUCUGGAGUCCUGUUUUGCAAUAUAGUAACUAUAUGGCAUUAAGAAAAUCAGUUAGCCUGUUUGAACUUCAGUUUUCUAAUUUUCAAACAGAGAGAUGUGGUUACUGCAUCCAAUCACUGAGAUGACUGAAUUAUGAAGGGGCAAAUCUUAUCAGUCAGUUAAUCCACCAAGGUAA
rnacentral:lncRNA from 1 species